rnacentral:rRNA from 1 species
AGUGAACGCUGGCGGUAGGCCUAACACAUGCAAGUCGAACGGCAGCACAGUAAGAGCUUGCUCUUACGGGUGGCGAGUGGCGGACGGGUGAGGAAUACAUCGGAAUCUACUUUUUCGUGGGGGAUAACGUAGGGAAACUUACGCUAAUACCGCAUACGACCUACGGGUGAAAGCAGGGGAUCUUCGGACCUUGCGCGAUUGAAUGAGCCGAUGUCGGAUUAGCUAGUUGGCGGGGUAAAGGCCCACCAAGGCGACGAUCCGUAGCUGGUCUGAGAGGAUGAUCAGCCACACUGGAACUGAGACACGGUCCAGACUCCUACGGGAGGCAGCAGUGGGGAAUAUUGGACAAUGGGCGCAAGCCUGAUCCAGCCAUACCGCGUGGGUGAAGAAGGCCUUCGGGUUGUAAAGCCCCUUUGUUGGGAAAGAUAAGCAGCAGGUUAAUACCCCGCUGUUCUGACGGUACCCAAAGAAUAAGCACCGGCUAACUUCGUG